ACUUCUCCCUGCUGCCACCUUGUGAAGAAAGUGCCUUGCUUCCCCUUUGCCUACCACCAUGAUAGUAAGUUUCCUGAGGCCUCCUGAGCCAUGCUGAACUGUGAGUCAAUUAAACCUCUUUCCUUUAUAAAUUACCCAGUCUUGGGCAGUUCUUUAUAGCAGCAUUAGAAUGAACUAAUAUGUCGGGUGAAUAAAUCAAGCACCAGAUUUGAGAAUAAAAGCUCUUCAGAAGGAACCAUUGCUUCCUGCUGCUACAGGAACAAAUCUUACAGCCUACUGGGUGAAAGCAGAUGUACAAAAGAGGACAUACUGUGUGAUUCUAUCUAUAUAAAGCUCAGAAAAAGACAAAAUUAAUAUAUAGGGUUAGGAGUUGGGAUUCUUGACCUGGAAAUUUAUUACAUGAUCAUGUUCAGUUUGUGAAAAUUCAUCAAGUGAUAUACUUACAAUUUGUGUACUUUUCUACCUCUCUGUUUUAUCUUAUUUGAAAGGUUUAGCCUAGGCCGGGCACAGUGGCUUACGCCUGUAAUCCCAGCAAUUUGGGAGGCCGAGGUGGGCAGAUCACCUGAGGUUGGGAGUUUGAGACCAGCCUGACCAACAUGGAGAAACCCCGUCUCUACUAAAAAUACAAAAUGAGCCGGGUAUGGUGGUGCAUGCCUGUAAUCUCAGCUACUCGGGAGGGUGAGGCAGGAGAAUCGCUUGAACCCGGGAGGGCAGAGGUUGCGGUGAGCCGAUAUCGCGCCAUUGAGCUCCAGCUUGGGCAACAAUUUUUUUUCUCAAAAAAAAAAAAAAAGGGGUUUACCCUAAAAAAUUUUAAUGCCAUCAAGCAUUAAUCCAGUUUCACAUCACAGGGGUUGGAAAACUAAGGCCUAUGGAAUAAAUGUAGGCUUCAGGGUUUCUUCUGUUUGUUUGUUUUUGUUUUUUGGGGGCAGGCACUAUGUCUUAAAAAUUUCUUUCUUUUCUUUCUUUCUUUUUUUAUUUUAUUUUUAUUUUUUUGAGACAGAGUCUCACCCUGUCGCUCAGGCUGGAGUGCAGUGGCAUGAUCUUGGCUUGCUGCAACCUCCGCCUCCCAGGCUCAAGCAAUCCUGCCUCAGCCACCCGAGUAGCUGAGAUUACAGGCCUGUGCCACCAUGUCUGGCUAAUUUUUGUAUUUUUAGUGGAGACAGGGUUUCUCCAUAUUGGCCAGGCUUGUCUUGAACUCCUGACCUCAAGUGAUCCACCUGUCUUGGCCUCCCAAAGUUCUGAAAUUACAGGUGUGAGCCACCGUGCCCCAAAAUUUAUUCUCUAACUCCUGUUUUUUGUUCGUUUGUUUGUUUGGGACAGAGUCUUGCUCUGUUGCUGCAGCUGGAGUGCAGUAGUGCAAUCAUAGCUCACUGCAGCCUCCAACGCCUGGGCUCAAGCAAUCCUCCUGUGUCAGCCUUCUGGGUAGCUGGGACUAUUGGUACGCACUACCAUGCCCAGCUAAUUUUUUUAUUUUAUGGAGUUGAGGUCUCACUAUAUUGCCCAAGCCAGUCUUGAACUCCUGGCCUCAAGCUAUCCUCCUAUCUCAGCCUCCCAAAGUGCUGGGAUUAUAGGCAUGAGCCACUGCACCUGGCUAAAAUUUUUUGAUGGUGCAGUAGUGGUAGGCUUGGAGCCCUGCAAGCCUGUGGAAGUGUUGGGUAUACUUGCCAUUUCUCUUGUCCUCACUUCACUCUAAAAUGUUACACCUGGCCAACUUCACCCUUGUGUGUAACCUGCCUGACCCCUGAGUGCAUCUGGGUUUAUAGUCUCUUAAAAUCCUGACUCCACAGCAUGCCAAAUAAGUAAUCCUUGGCCAGUUAUUCAGUCUCUCUGUGUUUGUU
rnacentral:lncRNA from 1 species